CGUUUCGGUUGCCUAAGUGGUUAGAGCGUCCGCCUCGGAAUCGGUAGGUCUCAGGUUCGAACCCUAGACUUACGA